UACGUAGGAGGCGAGCGUUGUCCGGAAUUACUGGGCGUAAAGCGCGUGUAGGCGGUGAGUUAAGUCUGUUGUGAAAGCGCCCGGCUCAACCGGGCAGAGUCAAUGGAAACUAGCGCACUGGAGGUCGGUAGAGGCGAGUGGAAUUCCCGGUGUAGUGGUGAAAUGCGUAGAGAUCGGGAGGAACACCAGUGGCGAAGGCGGCUCGCUGGGCCGGACCUGACGCUGAGACGCGAAGGCGUGGGGAGCGAACGGG
rnacentral:rRNA from 1 species